GAUGAACGCUGGCGGCGUGCCUAAUACAUGCAAGUCGAGCGAACAGAUGAGGAGCUUGCUCCUCUGACGUUAGCGGCGGACGGGUGAGUAACACGUGGAUAACCUACCUAUAAGACUGGGAUAACUUCGGGAAACCGGAUCUAAUACCGGAUAAUAUAUUGAACCGCAUGGUUCAAUAGUGAAAGACGGUUUUGCUGUCACUUAUAGCUGGAUCCGCGCCGCAUUAGCUAGUUGGUAAGGUAACGGCUUACCAAGGCAACGAUGCGUAGCCGACCUGAGAGGGUGAUCGGCCACACUGGAACUGAGACACGGUCCAGACUCCUACGGGAGGCAGCAGUAGGGAAUCUUCCGCAAUGGGCGAAAGCCUGACGGAGCAACGCCGCGUGAGUGAUGAAGGUCUUCGGAUCGUAAAACUCUGUUAUUAGGGAAGAACAAAUGUGUAAGUAACUAUGCACGUCUUGACGGUACCUAAUCAGAAAGCCACGGCUAACUACGUG
rnacentral:rRNA from 1 species